rnacentral:rRNA from 3 species
UCUGGUAAUUAGAGCGGUGUGGAACCACCUUUUCCCAUUCCGAACAGAGAAGUGAAACGCGCCAGCGCUCACGAUACUUUAGGUGUAUGCCUAAGGGACAAUAGGUCAUUGCCAGGG